rnacentral:rRNA from 1 species
AUUGAACGCUGGCGGCAUGCCUUAUACAUGCAAGUCGAACGGUAACAGGUCUUCGGAUGCUGACGAGUGGCGAACGGGUGAGUAAUGCAUCGGAACGUGCCCAGUUGUGGGGGAUAACUGCUCGAAAGAGCAGCUAAUACCGCAUACGACCUGAGGGUGAAAGCGGGGGAUCGCAAGACCUCGCGCAAUUGGAGCGGCCGAUGUCGGAUUAGGUAGUUGGUGGGGUAAAGGCCUACCAAGCCGACGAUCUGUAGUUGGUCUGAGAGGACGACCAGCCACACUGGGACUGAAACACGGCACAGACUCCUACGGGAGGCAGCAGGGGGGAAUUUUGGACAAUGGACGCAAGCCUGAUCCAGCCAUGCCGCGUGCGCGAAGAAGGCCUUCGGGUUGUAAACCGCUUUUGUCGGAGAAGAAAUCUUUCGGGCGAAAACCUCGGAAGGAUGACGGUACCCGAAGAAUAAGCACCGGCUAACUACGUGCCAGCAGCCGCGGUAAGAC